rnacentral:lncRNA from 1 species
AACUUUCGAAUCACAGUUGGAAGUGUAAUUACUAGUUAAUAUUUGGAAUAAAGUAACAAGCUGAAAUUAGACUAACUAAGUUUGUAAACAAUAUGAGAGAGAGAUGCUACGGUCAAAACUUUCCCUAUUGAUAGAAUUCCUUCUGUUUAUGCUUCAUAAAAAUUUACCAACAUUUUUAUAUCAACAAUGAACACUUAGCUUAUUACGAAUUUCUUCCGAAUAAUCACAAUAAUAUACUAUUGCACUCUCCCGAGCUACACUAGCUAGAUUUAAUUAAACAGUUCAUUCAAAAUUGCACGAAGGCUUUGUUAUUCCUAAUCCCGCCUUUAAACCUGCAGUUAUAUAUUCCACUUAUUACCUAGGAGUGGUGUUAUUCAAUAACUACUUAAACAUACACUCUUUUCCAAGUUAUGCACACUAAAUAAGCACAGCUAAUUGAGGAUCCUGUCUAUUAACUACAACAAGAACAUAGUUGAAUAAAUAUAGAUUAAAACCGACAAAUUCGCAUUAACAUAAACUAGAAGUUCAUCCCUUAAUAGGUUCCAUCAAGACCUUAGACAAAGGAAUUAGCUACUCCUAACUAUGGGUAUACAAAAUAAACUAAGAUUAAACAUAAUCUAACAAUAAAAAUCAAAAGGAAAGAAGAAAUAGGUUUGAGUUAUUCUCACAUGCUUGUUUCUCGUUCCAAGAACACUAAAUAAUCAAUACAUGCCUCAAAGGGGAGGAACCUAGUGACUAAUAUAGGUUUUAGGGCUUAAUUCCACGUUUUCCUUCAACUGCUUCUAUCCAGUCACAUGCCUUCCGCGGUCCAGGCGCGGUCGCGGUCGAACCGGGCCCGUGAAGCCUCUUUGAAUCUCGAUUUUGUCUACAACCCUAUUUUCCCACGCUCCGCGGUCGCAGCUCGACCGCGGCCAAAGGCCUUUUCUGAACUUUUUUUUAGUCUUAGACCAUGUUUCACCGCGUUACGUCAGCGGUCACGGCUGGACCGCGGCCAAUGGUUGCUUCAUAAUUCCUUGGCCUGUUUCACUUGAUUUGGUUAGGGGUUUUCAUGGUUGGAAUUUUUUCUUCAUUUUCUCGACUCCACAAGUACUUCUCGCCUUCCUAGUCGUGUAUAGCCUGAAAACAUGAAAAAGCACCCAUAAGAGCAUUUUUGCUAACACUUUUAAUAUCAAAACAAUACAAGAAGGUUGUUAUUUAGGGCCUGAAUAUAGUAAAAUUCACCUAUUAUCAAAGAGUGAGGUAUGUCUUUGGGAGUCCUGUGGAGAAGAGUAACGUUGGGCAGGGUCAUCCAUUGCAUGAGUAUAUACACGGGUACAAUGUCAAGGUUGGAAAUGUUGAUCAGUAGAGUCAUUUGGAUCAUGUUUUCUGUUUCUGUUUCUCAUUUUCGAGCUUAACGAGAUGUCCUGAAUGUCUUCUGAGCAACUCUUUAUUUUUCCCGACUUGAUUCCCUGUUCUACGAAUUCCCCAUUCUUAGCACAUCAUUGAAAGGUCUCCCCACGACCGGGAUCAAAUGUUUGAAUUAACUGGGCCCCUGGGCCUGAAUGAAAAUUUCAACCAUCUCUUCUUCACCAAUCAGGGUAUUGACUCGAGGAGCUUGCUCCUUCCAUCUGAGCCCAAACUCUCUAAAGCUCUCCCCUGGUUUCCUUUCCAUUCUAGAUAGGGAGGAAUGGUUUGGGACAAUGUCUUUAUCGUACUGAAAAUGUUGCAAAAAAUCUGGAGCCAUGUCGCCCAGCGUGUGCCAUUCCCGAUAUCUUGAUGAUCAUGCCAUUCCAAGGCUGCCCCAAUCAGGCUCUCACUGAAAUGCGACAUCAACAACUCAUCUUCCUUGCCGACAUUCCUAGUUUUAUAGCAAUAAUCCCUCAAAUGGUCCACUGUAUCUCCCCGCCCAUCAUACAAAUUAAACUUUGGCAUCUUAAACCCUUCCAGCUUUCUGGAUAUCUCAUUCUCCUCCAUUAUUUUAGCAAGCUUCGUAGUCUCACCGGGACCCUCAAAAUGAAGAGCAUUAUGGUAUGGACUCGAGGCCUUGAAAAUUUGUUCUGGAACGUAAUGUUGGGCAUCGGGGACUGAUGGCGGUGGACACCCACUGGCCCAAGCUUAGUGCAUUACGACUGUCUAUCUUUUCAACCUUAAAACCUCUUCUUUCAACUUUGACUCUGACUCAACAAUGCCCCUAGACGGAUCAGUAAUACAUGUGUUCAACCCUUUGCCUGCCAUGACUGCCUUGCUAUUCGACCUUGUGUUGUAUGGCUGAGUUACCAUAAACCAACCACUUCAACUUUCUUCACGAUUCAAAACAAAACAUGUUAGAAUGGAUUGAGUCGGCCCUCAUUAUUAACAACAUCUUUUCCCAGUGUUUUGUUUUUCUAUUUUUGUUUAUUCAAUUUUCUUUUCCUUUUUUCAUCAUUUUUUUUCUUGUCUUUUUUUUUGGUUGUGGUCGAAUCCUAUAUGGAUUGCCUACGUAUCAUGACCCCGCAUGACUCAAACCGUGAGUAGUUCUUGCAAAUAAAAGGUAAACGACAAUAAAACAUUUUUCGAAAUUUUCCAUUUUCAUAAUAACAACAAAACUAACCAACUUAACGAUGAAAUACAAACUCGAAAAUCUAACACCCUUAUACUCUAAUCAAAAGAAAUACAAACCCAAAAACAAAAUGACAGAUUCUUUCCCCUAUAUGCCAAUUUCAACCCAAAAUCCGAACGAUAUUCACUUGACCGUUGACUCUUUUUCUUGUUUUUCAAAUUAAAAUAAAUGACCCGGUAUUGCAAACACGGCCUUCCAGCGCCUCGGGGACGAAGAUUUUAAGGCUGUGAGGGUCAGAAUCAAAAUAUAACCAAAGGUAGCCGUUUAUGCAAAGUCAGCCUUCUGGCGCCCCGUUAGGGAACAUUUGGCUAUUUUUUAUAAAAACGGCAUCAACUGAUUUAGUUACGGCUCUUUUCUUGUUUUUCAAAUAAAAAUCAAAAUAAAAGACACGGUAUUGCAAAUAUGGCCAUUCAACGUCUCGAGGGCGAAAACUUAAGGCUGUGAGGGUUGAAAAUCAAAACAUGACCAAAGGUGGCUCUUUAUGCAAGGUCAGCCUUCCGGCGUCCCUUUUGAGAACAUUCGACUAUUUUUUACAAAACGGCAUCACCUGGUUUAUUUAUGACAAAAAUAAAAAUUUUGACAUUUUUGGGCUAUUUUUGUAAAGGGGAGGUUGGACCCAAUGAGGGUUGCCUACGUAUCUCACGCCCUGUGAGAAUCAAACCAUGCGUAGUUCCGACUCGACUCUUUUCUUUUUCCAAAAAAAAUAAAAUAGCCCAAAACUAAAAACUUUUUUUUUAUUUUUUUUAUUUUUUAUAACAGAACAAACUAUUUAUCUCUUUUUCAUUUUCGAAAAAAAGAUUAAUAUAAAAGGCUCUUUUUCCUUUCUCAUUUUUUAUGGAACAAAAAACUAUUUUUCCUUUUCUAUUUUUGAAAACAAGAUAAAAUAACGAUUUCUUUUUAUUUUAAACAAACAACCUAUUUUUCCCAAUUAAAGUAAAGACUCUUUUUUUUAAGUUUUUUAGUAACACAACCUAAAAAUAAAGUCUUUUUUUUACAAUAAAACACCCUAUUUUUCCAUUGGAAAAUAAACUAUUUUGUAACAAGAAGAACAAAAAUUAAGACUUCUUUUUUCUCAUGGAAAAGCAAACUAUUUUUCACUUUCCAUUUUUGCAAACAUGACAAACUAAAAAAUGACUCACUCUUUUUGAAUAAAACAACUAUUUAAAAAUAAAAUAUUUUAAAUUUUCUCAAAAUUUCGGUAGAGUUUUGACAGUACUUGGACAUCGGUUUUUCUAAAAAAUCACUUAACUUUCCAACUACAAUUUUUCUUUUUAUUCUUUUUUUCUUUUUUGUUUAAAUUUUCUAACAUUCCUGAGAUUCAAAAGCCGGUCAACAUGCAAGCACGAGCAAAUAAAUGCACAGAAAACAAGUAGGAUGCAUCAGGACGGUCGUUUCAUUUCAGGUUGCUAGCCUUAGAUGGACCCAACCCUUGUGUUGAGUCCCCUAAGUCAAAAUCCACAUGAUGCAAACAAGCGUUCCUACUAGGGAUCCGACAUGAGGCUGAGUUAUUCUAGGUUCAAAACCUGGGUGUUUGUUCUAGACNNNNNNNNNNNNNNNNNNNNNNNNNNNNNNNNNNNNNNNNNNNNNNNNNNNNNNNNNNNNNNNNNNNNNNNNNNNNNNNNNNNNNNUUCAAAGCCUGGGUGUUUGUUCUAGACCGGGCUUACCUGAGCGGAAGCUCGAGCCGAGGAGGAGACGGCAAUCCGGGAAUACAGAAGCUUCACUGGCUUUGCAACUUAUCCAAACUUCGUUCUAAUUUGGGAUUUGACACGAUACAGAAAAGAAGUCGUAUGAAGUACACCCUUCUUCAUGAUUCAUAAGACUCAAAGAGGAGAUAGGUUUCGGCACAGUUUAUAUACAGUUCACAUAAUAUCAAAGCUGUAAAAGCAGUCAAUUAGCACAUUAGGCACAUAUCAUGUAACAAAAUCAGAUAAAGCCAAACACCACAAUUAUUCUAAGCUCGAAUUAUGAACCCUGAACAAAGCGUUCUGGGUUCUUUUCCCCAGCAGAGUCGCUAGAGCUGUCACACCUCCUUUUUUACUGUACACCCCCCAAAGGGGCGUAAAGGAGUUUUCCAAUUAAACGAUAAUAGAAAUGGGAUUUGUUUGUUAUUUAUUCAGAGUCGCUACUUGGGAGAUUAAUGGUGUCCCAAGUCACCAGUUGAAUCCGAACCAAGGAAAAAGAUGAUGUCAUUUCACAGUCCGCGAACUAAAAAUCCGAAUAAGGAAUUCUGUUAACCUGGGAGAAGGUGUUAGGCAUUCCCAAGUUCCGUGGUUCUAGCACGGUCGCUCAACUGUUGGAUUUAGCUUUUAACUGAUUUUAUUACAUGAAGAACCUAUGUGCCAAUUUUUACUCUUUUGCCGCUUUUAUUUAAUAGAUGUUUAUUUGAGAAAGUGAACGUCGUUUAAAGUGUGUUUUCGGAUUGCGCCGCAUCAAAUGAACCCGCAAUCCUAGGCACACUCUAUUAAACGUUUUAAGAUUUGGAUUUGGGACGCAUAAAAUUCCCACCCGUAUUUAGGAAUGUAAUUUACUAAAGUCGCGCCUAAUAGGGUCUAACGCGUUCUAAUCGUUUGGGAGGGUCGUGAAAUUGGCUAAACGACCCUUCCCAUUUUUUAAAAUAUUUUUAAACCUUUAUUGAGUUUCCCGAAAUUUGUAUUUUUGGGCGAGGCUCGUCUCAUUUUAUUUUUAAAAAAUAUAAACCUAAAAGAUAACUAUAUUUGUUUUUUGAUUUUUGUUCUAAGAGAAAAGAAAAUCCUAAUUGAUUAUUAGAAUUCGGAUUCCGAGUUCAAGUCUGGGCCCAAACAAAAGGAGGAACCUUUUAGUUUAAAACCCUCAACCUAACUAGAAACCAAAUUUUAUUAAUUCACCACUUAGUGUCUCUAAAACAUGAAAAGCCUUAAUUAAUUACAAAAUUCUAAUCCAACUGAGCCAAGACCGUACCCAAGUAUGGAUGAGGCAUAACCAAACGUCGGAAAUACUGAAGCCUAUGAUAGAAAGGCCCAAUCUAACGAACCAAAUGGUUUUACGUGGGAGCUGUGGCAAAUGGGCCUGAGGCCAGCCCAAACGGUAAUGCUCAAGGAAGAUCAGGGGAUCAAACCCCUGGAGCUCACAAGCACACGAGUUAAUUUGUUAUCAAACCGUUCGCCACUUCAGUCAAUAUAGACAAGAACAAUUGGAACAAUUGAAUUUCUAAAAAAACUGCAAUUAAUAUUGAACUGAGCAAACCAACCAUGUAUAAAUUUUUCACGUAAAUAAGAAGAAAAGACAAACCAAUCAUGUUUAAUUUUAUUAGCGCUUCCUACCAAUAAUUAGCUAUAUCUACCAUGAUUUAUCAAUCUCAACACUAAUCAACAACUUAAACACCCACUGAUUUUAAUGUCCUGAAAUCAAAUUACUUAAACACCACUAAUUGUAAUUAACUACUGAAAACUUCAAUCAUCUGUUUAUUUCUAAGCACAUGCAUACACUUGAUAAUUCAAGCUGAAUUUGUGCAGUCCAAAUCAGCAUAGGAUUAUCCCAAUCAACAGCCUAAAUUAAUACAAAUUGACUACGCCAAGCACGAUUCUGUUCCUCAUGAAUUUACAAUCUAAUCUUACUAGAAAAUAGUCCAAUUACUCAUAACAGAAACAGUGAACUAAUGAAAUCGUAAAUUUUAAACUUGCUUCAAAUUGAGCAAGGAUUUGCGCACAUUUCAUUUCAACUUCAAGAGUAGCUACAUGGAAACAAUUUGAGGGAGUGUACCUGAAUGCCGAAAUACAAGAAAAGUGAGAAGAGGAUCAGCUUAUAAUGACAAGUUCCUGCAGUGUAAUUUGCAGUUUUAGCAGCAGGAAAUACAGCUAGUGUCCAGCAGUUAACAAUAGCUACAAACUUGGACAAUUUGGACCCAAAAUGACUUCACAAAACCAAAGCCAUUCACCAUAGGAAGGCCACAACCAGUAAAGGACUCUAGAACAACUUAAUUGCUACCAAAACCAAACGAAAUUCACCCCAAAAUACCCUUGGAACCAACAGUAACCAGAAGAUGAACCAAAAAUUGUAAUCCAACAGCUAAUAAUUGAAACCCAUUUAACAUCUUAAUGAAACAUGAGAAUUUCUUAGAUUUUCUGGAUAGAUUUCUAUUUUUUUGGUUUUUCUCUUGAAGAAGCUAAAAUUAAAGGUAAUUUCAGAUCUGAAUUUCAGAUCUGGAAGCUUGAGGAUUUUUGGGCUGACCAAAACUUGUAUUUUAAGUCACUAAUGAUGCAUUUUUAUAGGCCUAAGGGAGGGCAACCCUCAAAUUUCAGUUUUCCUUUUAGUCCCUCCUAAUUUUCAGUUUAGUCCCUCUAUUUUUGACUUGCUAAACAAGGAAAUUCAUCAUAACACUUGUGCCCCAUUCUAGAAGCCUCUAGGAUGCUCUUUUAGCUAGGCAAUUCCUAUACUACCCUUACCCCUAUUUUGAAAUUACAAAACGUAACAAACUUACCCUUUUCCAAUGCCCGAACUACCCUUGUCACCUCCUAGAAUUACUAACCUCAGUUGAUUCCACCAAACCUUUUUACUCUUAGAUAAGGUCUAACUAAAGCUACCCAUAGACAAGCUAAAACUAGUCCAACAAUUACAAACAAUCAGGAACAACCAUCAAAAUAAACAGAGACAAAAUUAAACUAUUAUACCACCUAAACUAUUAUCUGAAAAUCAAUUAACCAAAAUGAAUCAACAAAUUAAACUAAAAGAUAGAAUAGACCGGGAAUGAGACUAGACCAACAAUUAUACAGAACUCAGUCAGAAUAAAUAAAAUAGGUACACAUACUAUAAUAAUUAAACCCUACCCAAGACUGAUAAACUACGAAAUUAUAACAAAGCUAAACUACCAUAACAAGAUAAAAACUAAAACUCAACCCAAAAUCAGAUUUAAACCACGAGCCAAUCUUAUGUAACAAACCGGACUGGGAAUGAAAAAAAGAACAUGAAAAGCUAAACUAUUCUAAUAGAAAUAACAAGUUAAAGAACACUUACUAUGGAAGAUGUUCAAACUUCACAAAAAACAAAUGAACUCCUAAAGCAAGUUUGACUCCAGCAUCCUAGAUUUGAAAUCUGAUCCAACCACGUGAAAUUCAAGAGAAGUUAACCAAGGAUUUGUGAAGAGGAAGACGGGGAAACUGUGUGGUGAAGAUUUGGAGCCAUUUGGAUGAACUACGAUUUCUUGGCCAAUUUUCGAUCUAAUAUUCAAGUGAUCGGCCGGGAACUGAAGAAAGUGGCUUUGGGGUUUGGAAAGGGGAUGAGGAGAAGAAUCAAUGGUGAAAUUGUGGGGUUAUUUCGAGCAUCGCUACCACUGGAGACGAUUUCCGGCCGGCGGCUUACGGAGGAGCAUGGCGACAUUUCAUUUCUCUGAUGAGAAUUUAAGAGAGAAGAGGGUGAGGGGUCUGAGGGGGUAGGGUAGUGUUAGGGCAGUUUUAUGCGAUUAAAC